AGCUUAACUGGAGAAUAGCCUUGGAUACUGGUGGUCUCGAGGGAGGUAGGGGCGGGUGGAACUUCCGGUGGAGCGGUGAAAUGCGUAGAUAUCGGAAGGAACGCCGGUGGCGAAAGCGACCCGCUGGACCUCUUCUGACGCUGAGGCGCGAAAGCCAGGGGAGCAAACGGGAUUAGAUACCCCGGUAGUCCUGGCCCUAAACGAUGGGUACUAGAUUGUAGACUAAUCAUGGGUUUACAGUCGAAGCAAAAGUGUUAAGUACCCCGCCUGGGGAGUAUGGUCGCAAGGCUGAAACUCAAAGGAAUUGACGGGGGCUCACACAAGCGGUGGAGCAUGUGGCUUAAUUCGAGGCUACGCGAAGAACCUUAUCC
rnacentral:rRNA from 1 species